rnacentral:rRNA from 1 species
UACGUAGGCAGCGAGCGUUGUUCGGAGUUACUGGGCGUAAAGGGUGUGUAGGCGGUUGUUUAAGUUUGGUGUGAAAUCUCCCGGCUCAACUGGGAGGGUGCGCCGAAUACUGAAUGACUUGGAGUGCGGGAGAGGAGAGUGGAAUUCCUGGUGUAGCGGUGAAAUGCGCAGAUAUCGGGAAGAACACCCGUGGCGAAGGCGGCACUCUGGGACGGUACUGACGCUGAGACGCGAAAGCGUGGGGAGCGAACAGG